AUGUGGGCUGCUAAAGCACUAAAAUUUGGAUACAGAUGGGUCAUGGGUGAUGGAAAAAAGAUCAGAUUCUGGGAGGAUAUAUGGUUUGGGACCUCCCCUCUCGUGCAAUUCUGGCCACUCUACUCCAUCUGCCACCAAUAAUGUAUCACUGUAGCUGAAGUCUGGGACAACAAUGAAAUUAAAUUGACUUUUAGAAGAAUAUUCACUGCAUCCAUGAUGGAGCAGUGGUACUGCCUUGAACAGAUCAUUGAAAGUACUCAUUUCUAG
rnacentral:rRNA from 1 species